rnacentral:rRNA from 1 species
GUAACAGGAAGCAGCUUGCUGCUUCGCUGACGAGUGGCGGACGGGUGAGUAAUGUCUGGGAAACUGCCUGAUGGAGGGGGAUAACUACUGGAAACGGUAGCUAAUACCGCAUAACGUCGCAAGACCAAAGAGGGGGACCUUCGGGCCUCUUGCCAUCAGAUGUGCCCAGAUGGGAUUAGCUAGUAGGUGGGGUAACGGCUCACCUAGGCGACGAUCCCUAGCUGGUCUGAGAGGAUGACCAGCCACACUGGAACUGAGACACGGUCCAGACUCCUACGGGAGGCAGCAGUGGGGAAUAUUGCACAAUGGGCGCAAGCCUGAUGCAGCCAUGCCGCGUGUAUGAAGAAGGCCUUCGGGUUGUAAAGUACUUUCAGCGGGGAGGAAGGCGAUGUGGUUAAUAACCGCGUCGAUUGACGUUACCCGCAGAAGAAGCACCGGCUAACUCCGUGCCAGCAGCCGCGGUAAUACGGAGGGUGCAAGCGUUAAUCGGAAUUACUGGGCGUAAAGCGCACGCAGGCGGUCUGUCAAGUCGGAUGUGAUAUCCCCGGGCUCAGCCUGGGAACUGCCUCCAAACUGGCAGGCUUGAUUCUCGUAGAGGGGG